CUGCCGGCCGCCCGACUCGGGUCCUAGGGAGACGCGGGCCGCCGGCGCGCUCCACCCGGAGCGAGGCCAUCGUGCAGCAAGGAGGCGAGGAGCGGCGGCGGCGCUGAGCCGGGCCCGGGUGUGGGGGCGCCUAUAUCCCCAGCCCAAGCUGCAGGAAGCCGCGCCGCUUCCUCGGAGGGGCUGGGACGGCGGCGGCCACGUGGGGGGCGGGGGCGACGCUCGGGGCCCGCGGCUGGAGGGGGAGUCGCUGCCUCACCCGCGCCUGGCGCCCGCGGCUCCCUCCGCCUCGCCGGCGUUGGCCCACCCUCUCGUAGCUCACCCCGCGAGGCUGGACAGCUCCCGGAACCCCGGAACCGGGAUCUAUUUCGGGGGCUCGGCUGCGUGGCGCCCAGGACUCUCCAGGGUCUCCCAGGAUCGCUCCCCGAAUUCGAGUCGCCCCCUCUCUCUUUCGGGAAUACCAGCUGAUGUCAGUCCGCCAGCCAAAACCAGGGAGGAGAAGCGGGAGCCAGCCCUCUGGAGUCGGGAGAAGGAAGAAGGUGCCACAGCUCUUCAGGACCACGGUUGGGAGAAAGAAUGGAGGGGUUUUAGAACCUUCAGUGUGCGACUUCAUGUGCCAGUCUUCAUCUCAGGAUCUCAAGCUCUUGGAUCAUGGGCACGGAUAACCUGUUGUCCUCCUCUAUGGUCAAGAGGCUGCUUUUGCAAAGAAUCCAGUGGGAGAGAGUCAAUGGCCUGCUUGACGUGAACUCCAAAGUCCUCCUGGAACAGGGGCUCACUCUGUUGCCCACAUUGGAGUGCGGUGGAAGAAUCAUGGCAUGCUGCAGUCUUGAGCUUCUAGGCUCAAGAGAUCCUCCUGGUUCAGUCUCCCAAGUAGCUAGGACAGCAGGCAUAUUUUUUGUAGAUAUGGGGGUCUUGCUUUUUUGCCGAGGCUGGUCUCGAACUCCUGGCUUCAAGCAAUCUUCCUGCAUCAGUCUCUUAAAGUGUUGGGAUUCCAGGCAUGAACCACUGCACCUGGCCCUUGGGAAGUUUUAUUUUUAGCCUAGGGUUGGGGUUAAGUUUGCAUCAUGAUGUUGAGACCUCCAAAGGAGAACUUAUUGUAGUCAUUCCUGAGCUCAGGUGUCCAAACUGUCUAAUUGGAGAAUCUGGGAAUUUUCUCUCGUUUUGAUUUUCCUCUUCCACUUUUCCAUGCCAGUUGGAUGUUUGAAUGUUUUUAUCGACCUCUGAGAGCAUCCGGGUAACUGAGGGUUUACUUUGGGGGUCUUUGGAGAUGAAUAGGGACAGGAGACCUCACCUUUCUUUUCCAUGUAGCCAUAGGAGAUAGUCCCACGAUCUGAUGAUCUGUAGCAAUGGGUAGAGGAAGGGCCGUAUUAG
rnacentral:lncRNA from 10 species